rnacentral:rRNA from 1 species
UACAGAGGGUGCGAGCGUUAAUCGGAAUUACUGGGCGUAAAGGGUGCGUAGGUGGUUGCAUAAGUUAGGUGUGAAAGUCCCGGGCUUAACCUGGGGAUUGCGCCUGAUACUGUGUAGCUAGAGUACUGUAGAGGAAGGUGGAAUUUCCAGUGUAGCGGUGAAAUGCGUAGAUAUUGGAAGGAACAUCGGUGGCGAAGGCGCUCUGCUGGACCAUAACUGACACUCAGGGACGAAAGCUAGGGGAGCGAAUGGG